rnacentral:snRNA from 1 species
UGCUCACUUUGGCAGCUAUACACUAAAAUGGAAAUGAUACAGAAAAGACUGACAGGGCCCCUGUGCAAGGAAAACAAAAUAACUUUUUUUUUUUUU